UUAAAUUGAAGAGUUUGAUCAUGGCUCAGAUUGAACGCUGGCGGCAGGCCUAACACAUGCAAGUCGAACGGUAACAGGAAACAGCUUGCUGUUUCGCUGACGAGUGGCGGACGGGUGAGUAAUGUCUGGGAAACUGCCCGAUGGAGGGGGAUAACUACUGGAAACGGUAGCUAAUACCGCAUAACGUCGCAAGACCAAAGAGGGGGACCUUCGGGCCUCUUGCCAUCGGAUGUGCCCAGAUGGGAUUAGCUAGUAGGUGGGGUAACGGCUCACCUAGGCGACGAUCCCUAGCUGGUCUGAGAGGAUGACCAGCCACACUGGAACUGAGACACGGUCCAGACUCCUACGGGAGGCAGCAGUGGGGAAUAUUGCACAAUGGGCGCAAGCCUGAUGCAGCCAUGCCGCGUGUAUGAAGAAGGCCUUCGGGUUGUAAAGUACUUUCAGCGGGGAGGAAGGGAGUAAAGUUAAUACCUUUGCUCAUUGACGUUACCCGCAGAAGAAGCACCGGCUAACUCCGUGCCAGCAGCCGCGGUAAUACGGAGGGUGCAAGCGUUAAUCGGAAUUACUGGGCGUAAAGCGCACGCAGGCGGUUUGUUAAGUCAGAUGUGAAAUCCCCGGGCUCAACCUGGGAACUGCAUCUGAUACUGGCAAGCUUGAGUCUCGUAGAGGGGGGUAGAAUUCCAGGUGUAGCGGUGAAAUGCGUAGAGAUCUGGAGGAAUACCGGUGGCGAAGGCGGCCCCCUGGACGAAGACUGACGCUCAGGUGCGAAAGCGUGGGGAGCAAACAGGAUUAGAUACCCUGGUAGUCCACGCCGUAAACGAUGUCGACUUGGAGGUUGUGCCCUUGAGGCGUGGCUUCCGGAGCUAACGCGUUAAGUCGACCGCCUGGGGAGUACGGCCGCAAGGUUAAAACUCAAAUGAAUUGACGGGGGCCCGCACAAGCGGUGGAGCAUGUGGUUUAAUUCGAUGCAACGCGAAGAACCUUACCUGGUCUUGACAUCCACGGAAGUUUUCAGAGAUGAGAAUGUGCCUUCGGGAACCGUGAGACAGGUGCUGCAUGGCUGUCGUCAGCUCGUGUUGUGAAAUGUUGGGUUAAGUCCCGCAACGAGCGCAACCCUUAUCCUUUGUUGCCAGCGGUCCGGCCGGGAACUCAAAGGAGACUGCCAGUGAUAAACUGGAGGAAGGUGGGGAUGACGUCAAGUCAUCAUGGCCCUUACGACCAGGGCUACACACGUGCUACAAUGGCGCAUACAAAGAGAAGCGACCUCGCGAGAGCAAGCGGACCUCAUAAAGUGCGUCGUAGUCCGGAUUGGAGUCUGCAACUCGACUCCAUGAAGUCGGAAUCGCUAGUAAUCGUGGAUCAGAAUGCCACGGUGAAUACGUUCCCGGGCCUUGUACACACCGCCCGUCACACCAUGGGAGUGGGUUGCAAAAGAAGUAGGUAGCUUAACCUUCGGGAGGGCGCUUACCACUUUGUGAUUCAUGACUGGGGUGAAGUCGUAACAAGGUAACCGUAGGGGAACCUGCGGUUGGAUCACCUCCUUACCUUAAAGAAGC
rnacentral:rRNA from 3 species